rnacentral:rRNA from 1 species
GAUGAACGCUGGCGGCGUGCUUAACACAUGCAAGUCGAACGAAGCAUUUAAGACAGAUUACUUCGGUUUGAAGUCUUUUAUGACUGAGUGGCGGACGGGUGAGUAACGCGUGGGUAACCUGCCUCAUACAGGGGGAUAGCAGCUGGAAACGGCUGGUAAUACCGCAUAAGCGCACAGUACCACAUGGUACAGUGUGAAAAACUCCGGUGGUAUGAGAUGGACCCGCGUCUGAUUAGCUUGUUGGCGGGGUAACGGCCCACCAAGGCGACGAUCAGUAGCCGAUCUGAGAGGGUGACCGGCCACAUUGGGACUGAGACACGGCCCAGACUCCUACGGGAGGCAGCAGUGGGGAAUAUUGCACAAUGGAGGAAACUCUGAUGCAGCGACGCCGCGUGAGUGAAGAAGUAGUUCGCUAUGUAAAGCUCUAUCAGCAGGGAAGAUAGUGACGGUAC